rnacentral:SRP_RNA from 1 species
GCCAGGCGUGGUGGCGAGCGCCUGUAAUUCCAGCUACUUGGGAGGCUGGGGCAGGAGAAUCGCUUGAGCCCAGGAGGCAGGGGUUGCAGGGAGCCAAGAUAGCACCACUGCACUCCAGCCUGGGUGACAGAGCGAGACUCUGUCUCAA